AAUACAUUAGCUAUGGAUCACGAUGUGUUGAUGUACGGUGUGAUAAUUAUCUACGCUAUAGAUCUCCACGCAAGUUACCACCCCCUUGGGGUAGUGCUUUUAUUAGCCGUGUAACGAGUGAAUACAAAGCUUCUAAUCGUCUUCGGACAAUUUACUUGACAUCUGACCUCAAAUCAGGUAGGACUACCCGCUGAACUUAA
rnacentral:misc_RNA from 1 species